UUACGGCCAUAUCACUUUGAAACACCGAUGCUCGUACAAUGAUAGUAGUUAAGGAACGCCAAGCAUGGUCAGUACUUAGAUGGGUGACCACUUGGGAACACCAGGUGCUGUAAG